GCGACCCCAGUCAGGCGGGGUACCCGAA
rnacentral:rRNA from 1 species